GAUGAACGCUGGCGGCGUGCCUAACACAUGCAAGUCGAACGGAACUUACAAGCGGAAGUUUUCGGAUGGAAGCUUAUAAGUUUAGUGGCGGACGGGUGAGUAACGCGUGAGCAAUCUACCUCUCAGUGGGGGAUAACACAUCGAAAGGUGUGCUAAUACCGCAUAAUAUAACGGGAUCGCAUGAUUUUGUUAUCAAAGAUUUAUUGCUGAGAGAUGAGCUCGCGUCUGAUUAGAUAGUUGGUGAGGUAACGGCUCACCAAGUCGACGAUCAGUAGCCGGACUGAGAGGUUGAACGGCCACAUUGGGACUGAGACACGGCCCAGACUCCUACGGGAGGCAGCAGUGGGGAAUAUUGCACAAUGGGGGAAACCCUGAUGCAGCAACGCCGCGUGAAGGAUGAAGGUUUUCGGAUUGUAAACUUCUUUUGUACGGGACGAAACAAAUGACGGUACCGUAAGAAUAAGCCACGGCUAACUACGUG
rnacentral:rRNA from 1 species